UGGACGACGCUGGCGGCGUGGAUUAGGCAUGCAAGUCGAACGGUAUCAUCCUUCGGGGGUGAGAGAGUGGCGAACUGGUGAGUAACACGUAGGUUAUCUACCCUCAAGACGGGGACAACCCAGGGAAACUUGGGCUAAUACCGGAUGUGAGCAACUUUUAGUUGUUUGAAAGGUGGCGUAAGCUGUCGCUUGGGGAUGAGCCUGCGUCCUAUUAGUUAGUUGGUGAGGUAACGGCUCACCUAGGCAAUGAUAGGUAGGCGGCCUUAACGGGUGGUCGCCCACACUGGGAUUGAGAUACGGCCCAGACUCCUACGGGAGGCAGCAGUCGAGAAUAGUCUACAAUGGUCGGAAGACUGAUAGUGCGACGCCGCGUGAACGAUGAAUCCCUUCGGGGUGUAAAGUUCUUUUAUAUGUGAGCAGUGCUUCUUAUAUUAACAGUAUGGGGAGAGAGAUAUUAGCAUAUGAAUAAGCAACGGCUAACUCCGUG
rnacentral:rRNA from 1 species